rnacentral:misc_RNA from 1 species
GCUGGUCAAUUCUACCGGAAAUUUCAUCAUCUUCAAAUUUCCCAAAUUCCACAUCCACCUCCUUCAUCGAGCUCUCGUUCUCGCGAACGCCAGACUCUUCCUCUUCGAGAAUUUCGCCUUCCUCGACGUCAUCUUCCGGCCGAGAUCUACGAUUAGCAACAGGAGGAACACUAUCCUCCUGGUCACGGCAGCUUUCUUCUUCGUUCUUAUUGCUGCUGUGACGAUGUCGGUGGUGGCGGCGAUGGUGACGGUGUUUGUGACGCUUAGAAGAUUUCUCAUCGUCUUCAUCGGAAGCAGAUCGGCGGUGCUUCCGGUGAGCAGUAUCGUUAGCCAUUGGCGUCGCAAGAAAUCUAGGGUUUGUCUCUCAACCUUUUCGCUGUGUACGCGUUUUCGGCCUUCAGAGAACAGAGUCGCGUAAAGAGAUAGUU